rfam:Acyrthosiphon pisum strain LSR1 Contig25375, whole genome shotgun sequence.
CCGUGUUCUGUGAAUGACUCGGCUGGCGCCGGACUGGCGGGCGCCCGUCGGUCUGUCAUGGAACACGAGA